rnacentral:lncRNA from 1 species
GUUUGAGCCAUUCUUGGGAAUGAGAUAGCUUUCACCUCUUUCUCCUUAAUAAUAUCCUUCAAUUCUUAAGCUCGUUCUAUUAACUGCGCAAAUGUCGUUAUCCCGACAGGAGCAAGAGGAAUUCGAAAUUCAUAACGCAAUCCUUUUAGGCAAAUAGAGACUUGUUUUUUGGGAAUAGGCUCCGUGCAUCGCCAAGAGUCUGAAUCGAGCAAUGAACUCCUGGGCUUUCUCUGUCG